rnacentral:ncRNA from 1 species
UAGAACACGUUGAAGGUAUUAAGUACAUGACAUGAUAUUUCAAGAGAGGGACUCCCCCGGCUGAAAGGAAUCCUAAUUAUACUGUUAUGGAAAGCUACACUGGAGUACGGCUAAUCCCCGUCGGUAUCAUACCGUUAUAAUGAUGAAAGUGAUGAACAUGGAUUGUUCAUAAUAAGGGUGGUACCGCGAAAUCUCGUCCCUGCA